rnacentral:rRNA from 1 species
UACGUAGGGUGCAAGCGUUGUCCGGAAUCACUGGGCGUAAAGCGCACGUAGGCGGCUUCUUAAGUCAGGGGUGAAAUCCUGGAGCUCAACUCCAGAACUGCCUUUGAUACUGGCGAUCUUGAGUCCGGGAGAGGUGAGUGGAACUGCGAGUGUAGAGGUGAAAUUCGUAGAUAUUCGCAAGAACACCAGUGGCGAAGGCGGCUCACUGGCCCGGUACUGACGCUGAGGUGCGAAAGCGUGGGGAGCAAACAGG